rnacentral:lncRNA from 1 species
AGGGGCAAUAUUUAUUGCUGGAAAAGGAAGGAGACAAAUCAGCUAGAAUUUAAAUGCAAGGGGAAGGUUCCAGGCUCUACACUAUCCUACACCUGUCCCUUAUGCUACAUAAUCAAGCACCUUUCAUUUACACAGAAUAAAUACUAUUAUAUAGUUAAUUAAGUGUACAAAAGAGAAAAAGUUAUGAAUGUGAUGAUAGUGAUUAUCGCACUCAUAUGACAUGAAACUUUCAAUUUCCUCCAAAAAAUUGGUGAAAGCCAAAAGCAUAAUUAUAUAUUUCAUAAAUUUGCUAAGAGAGAACAUAGAGAAAGGAAGCAAAAGCAUGGAAGACCUUUUAAUAUCCAGUGUUUAGUUUAUUACGCAAUCAAUAAAGCUAAUCAUCCCCUCAUCAAUUUACACACCUUAUUAUUAUAUAUCUUAUUUUAAGACUCAAAAUAUGAUAUUUUUAACUUUCCUCAAGAGAAGAUAUUAUCUCUAAAGUAUAUGAUGAUUUUAGCCAUAUAAGAACCCUUUAAUGUACUGUUUUUUCCUUUGGUACAAACCUUUAAUGUACUAGAGUACGAUUUUACAGAAAGGAGUCUGACUUAUUUGUUUUAAUUAUAUCAUAUGCUCUCAUCCCAAAGGAAGGGGGGGGUUAUGUUAUGGUUACAUAUUCCAUGUAUAUAGAGUAUUUAGAGGUUUUCUAAGCCCUUAAUUUUGUUGUUCUCAAGAGUUUAUAGAGUGUAAGUGACAAAAAAAAUUUAGCAAUCUAUUUUAGAGAACAUUUAUCAAGCUCUCAUGCCAUAUAAUUUUCAAUUUAUACAUUUUUUCAGAAAUAAUCUAAUCAAGAAAUUUUAUUUUUGUAAGUAAAUUUUACUUACUAUUUUUUUAUUACUGUAUAUAUUAGUAAAUUUCUUGACUAAGCUUGGUCUCUUUUGUAUACUAUUUCUCUACUGAAUACUACCACUUUUCUCGUCACUUGUUUCUCAAUAUUAGUACUCCUUGACAUAAAAUGUAGUUAUUGGAUUAAUUUAGCGAGUCGCAUUCACAAAUAUGUCAACUAAAUCAUAAAUGAAAUAUUACAAUCAAAUUAAUAGAUCAUAGCGAUGUUAGGUGAGACAAAAGUGAUGUAACGAUUAGUACUUUUCUUCGUGAUUAGAAUUAAAAAAUUCUGUUUUAAAAUUUAAAUCUUUAAUUCAUUUUAGAUUCCAAAAAUGAAAUUAAAAUUACCAUAAUCAUUCAUAAAAGGAUUUAAAAGGAGAUCAUGUGCUGUAUCUUCACUUCCUCUUACCAAUUAAUGUUCAAAAUGGUUAUAGCUGGAUUUUUUUUUUAUUUGGAGGAAAGGGAGAUUUAAAUUUUACUCUUUAAAAAGAAAAUCAUGCAUCAAUUAAUGAGUCAAAUACUCGAGUACGACUAUAGCUAAGUUUGUUAAUAAAGUUUUACAUUUUUUUCCUUUUCAUAGUUAUUGCAAAUCACACAUUUAUAUUUCAUAGGAUUAUUUUUUAUACAGUAUUUUUAUACACUAUGAUAGAGUUUUUAAACUUCAUCAAUGGAUUGGAUAAUUUUUCAUAUUUAUGUAUGUUUGAAAAAGUACAUAGUCAUAAUUAAGACAUAGAAAACCCAUAUAUUUUACAUAAAAAAAGUUUAGAGCUCAAUUCUUCAUCCCUCGACGUAAUUAUCUAAUUCUAAAACCUUAAUCUUGAUUGGUUAAUUAAAACAUGACAUUUAAGAUGCUAUUUUUCAAACAAAUAAAUAAAAGCAAUUGAUGUUUAUAAUUGGUUGAAUGUAUCACUCCUAAUAAAUACCAAUUCACAUCUCCACGUCAUACAGGUACAAACUUCCAUUCCCUUAAUAAUAUCUAGUUCCAUUUCAUACAAUCGCUAAUUAUUUAACAUCAAUUCAAAGAAAAUAUAUAAAAUUUAAUUAAAAAUAUACUAACUAAAUUAUACAUAAUAUCAUAUGUAGCAGUAGUAGUGUAAUAGUGUUGCAAUGAUAUCAAUCAUCAUAUAGUCAUCAUAAUCACCUGAUGAAACAGCACAUAUACGAUCAUAAAGAACUUUGUAACCUUAUACAAAGCAAUAAUUGUGACCAUAUAAUCUUUAAUCUUAUCUACUAAUUAAUGGCCAAAAAGAACCUUAGAGAGAAUAUACAUCUUGUGGGUUUGCACAAAUACUCAUGGAGAGAAUGUGACACACUAUGAUUCAUCAUCUCUCCUAAUAAAUACAAAGUCCAUUAAAACUGGUAAAGUUGCCACAUCAGACUAUCCACUCCUUAUAUAUAUAGGGGGGGUAGAGAUAUAUUGUGAAUUGAACCAAAGAAACAAAGCCAACUAACACACAUAGACAAGUUUAGCUGUAUACUUCACUACUCUCCUCCAACUAUACUACUACUUCAUCACUACCGUUUCUCUAGUCAUCUCUCUUAAAUCUCCUUUCUUUUCCUUUCUUUCAAACAUGGCACUGAAAGUAGCUGCUGUGAAUUCAUCAAGGGCUGCGGCUGCGGUGGCAACGCAGGAUUGGGAGGAGGAUUUAGUGGUGGUGAGAGAGUAUGAUGAAGAGAAAGACAAGGUGGCUGUGGAGGAGAUGGAGAGACGUUGUGAAAUUGGGGAAGGAGGAAAGCCUUCGCUUGUGGCGGACCUUUUAGGUGACCCCAUAUGUAGAGUCCGCCACUUCCCAUCUCACAUCAUGCUGGUAAUUAAAUCAUCCUUAGUAACUGACCAUCACCAUUAUUUAUUAUGGCUUUGUUUUUAACCUUAUUGAUCAUUAAAAUUCAUUAGAGUGGACCGAUUGAUAGAUGUUGCAUGUUUUUCUUAUUAUGUUUGAAGGAAGACAUAUGGCAGUAUUAACUAUUAAUUACCUACUGAAAUGAUUACAUGAUUUUUGUUCUUAUUGUAUGGUGUGAACAGGUAGCAGAAUAUGGAGAAAAAGGAGAGAUUGUAGGAGUUAUAAGAGGUUGUGUAAAAACUGUGACAAGGGGGAAUUCAGUUUAUGUAAAGUUAGCUUAUAUUCUGGGAUUAAGGAUCUCUCCUUCAUACAGGUUUGCUUCAUUUCUUUUCUUAAUCUUCUUUCAUCCAUCUGCUGCUUCUCUGUUUCUAUCAGCAUAUAACUACUCAAACUCUACUGUUACUGCAAUUAGCGAACAAAAUUGUAAAGAUAAACGUGAUAUUCACAAGUUACAGUCUCUCCUCUUUUUCUUUAUUGUAAAGUUAUCAGUAUAACUAAUAUGGUCAAGUCAUGGAUUGAAAAAGAGAAAAAAAAAAAAAAAAACCUUAGUCACCUGACAAGAGACAGAGGAGAAACUGUUUUCCCUUUUGCUUUUCUACUCCAUUUGCUCCUGGAAUUCUGAAACUGUUUUUCCUGCUUUUCUACCCCUCAUUUGGCUCUUUUCCACGACCAAGCUCUCUCUAUCUUUUUCUAUCAGAAUUCUUGCAUUUUCAUGUGUGCUUUGUGUUGGAGGGGUUCUAAUUUCUAAUCUCCAUUCCCACUCCACAAAAAAGUUGGAAAAUGAUGAUCAGAUUCCACCAUAAAGAAAAAUGACGAUGUUCCUCGUAUCAUGGAAAGGAGGGAAAUGCCAGCUAACCUUGCACUGACACUUGUAUUGAAUCCACUAGAUUAAUUGCUUUAUUAAUUCACAGCCACCAAAAAAAAAAAGGUCGUGGACAUGCUAUCUCAUUCUAUUCUUUGUUCGUACUUGCUUUUCCCUUCUAUUGCCUCCUCCCUUUGCAAUGGUCCACUCAAAUUUCUACUGUAUCCUUUUGAUACAUGCCUCCCUUAUGUCAUUCUGCUGUUAUAAAAAUC